rnacentral:pre_miRNA from 1 species
AUAAGUCAAAUUUGUAUGGAGUUGGAACGUUUGCCGUUUGGGCCACUGUUCCAACUGCUACAUACAAAUUUCAGGUA